rnacentral:rRNA from 1 species
GACGAACGCUGGCGGCGUGCUUAACACAUGCAAGUCGAACGGAAAGGCCCUGCUUUUGUGGGGUGCUCGAGUGGCGAAAGGGUGAGUAACACGUGAGUAACCUGCCCUUGACUUUGGGAUAACUUCAGGAAACUGGGGCUAAUACCGGAUAGGAGCUCCUGCUGCAUGGUGGGGGUUGGAAAGUUUCGGCGGUUGGGGAUGGACUCGCGGCUUAUCAGCUUGUUGGUGGGGUAGUGGCUUACCAAGGCUUUGACGGGUAGCCGGCCUGAGAGGGUGACCGGCCACAUUGGGACUGAGAUACGGCCCAGACUCCUACGGGAGGCAGCAGUGGGGAAUAUUGCACAAUGGGCGGAAGCCUGAUGCAGCAACGCCGCGUGCUGGAUGACGGCCGUCGGGUUGUAAACCGCUUUCGCCUGUGACGAAGCGUGAGUGACGGUAAUGGGUAAAGAAGCACCGGCUAACUACGUG